CAGUCGCCACGGGAAUACGUAGGGUGCAAGCGUUAAUCGGAAUUACUGGGCGUAAAGCGUGCGCAGGCGGUUAUAUAAGACAGAUGUGAAAUCCCCGGGCUCAACCUGGGAACUGCAUUUGUGACUGUAUAGCUAGAGUACGGCAGAGGGGGAUGGAAUUCCGCGUGUAGCAGUGAAAUGCGUAGAUAUGCGGAGGAACACCGAUGGCGAAGGCAAUCCCCUGGGCCUGUACUGACGCUCAUGCACGAAAGCGUGGAGAGCAAACAGGAUUAGAUACCCCUGUAGUCCCUGUCUCUUAUAC
rnacentral:rRNA from 1 species